AUAACUUAAUAGUUAUACUUAAUUUCAAAAAAAAAAUUGAAAAUAUACUAAACCCGGCCCGGCUCCCUUCAACCCGUAAUCCGUAUGGUUUAAUUUUAAUGCGAACAAACCCGGUCCGUUAAGAAGUCGGUACUGCUCAAUUCGGUCCGGCCUGAACCGGAACCCGAGCGGAUAAAAAAAUCACGACCCGAACCGGACCGGAUGAACCGUUUGUCACCUUUUUAAGUCCGCCCAAUGUAAAUAUACAAGUACACGCUAAAAGUAGUAACAGUGAAGAAGCACAUGUUGUUACACUGUUACUGUCCAUGUGUUCCCUAAGUCUCUAACUCCUACCUCAAUUGGGCAACUUGUAAAUGAGGAAGGUUUGUACUCAUAAUCUUACAUGUGUCUUUUAACUAUGACCCACCCAUCUAGUCAAUUGUCCCUUUGAAAAGAACUCUGAUUUAACAAUAUUAUAACACCAAAAUAGGAAAGGUCCUCAAAUUUUGACCUUACAUUUGGCAGGUCACUAGACCUACUCAUCGACUAGAAUUUGUAUGGAUAAACUUAAUUUACACCAACAUGAAAAUGUAACUCUUCGUAACAUAUAUAUCUAAUGUGCUAAUUGAAAAUUAGAGUAAUAACUUGAUAUAUAUAUAUAUAUUUAUUUCAAAUAUAUUUGAUUAUGUAAAAUAUUGCAAGCGAUAUAUAACAUAUACUCUUUGAUUUGAUGUUAAUUUCUAUCCUAAUUUAAUCAGAGGCGGAUUCAUAAUUUGAGGCUUAUGAGUUCAUACAGUAAUUUCAAACUAAUAUGCAAUAAUAAAUUAGGUUCAUAGUUAAAUAUUUAUUAAUAUUUCAUAAAUUUUUUAAUAUAAAUACAAAGUGUACACAAUAGAUGGAUUCCGGAGAACCAGCAUACAAUGCUAUAUAGGUCCGUCCCUGACUUUAGCAACAAUUUGUUACUCCAUUAAUCUUAGAGAUCUAGUGACUAGAUCUGUCCGUGGAUUAAGAAUAUCACGUGGCCAAUGGCCAAAAUCUGACUUAUAUUUACUGAAGAUAUUACAUGUACUGCAUGCAGCUUGGUCAAAACUUCAGUACAAGCUUCAGUAAAAUACUGGGAUCCAUGCAUUAACUUCCAACCAGUGGAUCUAGUAAGAGUUAAAGUUUAAUGGAAACAUUAAAAUAAGAUUUUUUAAAUUUUUUUAGAAUUAAGUAAGAGCCUGAAGUACUUUUUGUUAAUACGCAAAUAGAAAUGAUAAAUGUAGAAGAAUGUAAACACAAUUUAGUAAAUGAUAAAUGUAGAAGAAUGUAAACACAUGUUAGUUAAAAAGUAAGACGGGAUAAAAUAUUUGAUAUGCUACGUUUUUAUAUUUCUAACAAAAUAUGGUCCAUUUUUUUUUCCUCCCCUCCAAUUCCGACAAAUAUUUAAAUGUGUUUAAAAUAUUUAAUAUUGGUGGCAAUCAUUUAUAGGUCCACAGUAUUAAAUAAUACUAUCGUCUCAUUGUGGUUUGCAUAUUGUAGCAUAACAAUAAUGCAGUCCGCAAUUGGAAGUAUUUCUAAUUCAAUCACUAUUAUAACUUCUUAGGAAUACAGUUUCUAACCCAUGCCCUCUUAAUUAUUUGCCCAGGGGGUAAAGUGAAUGGCAAUGACUUAUAUUGUCAUCAAACAAAUUUGCCAUGCGCAUCUAGAAAAAAUUAAAUGGAAUCUUUAUAUAAAUAGCCGACCAGAUUAACUAAUACCCUAAUUGUACACGCUUAUUACAUAUUUUACGCAAAGAUUAAUAUAUAUAUAUUAGACACUCGUCAGCUAUAUUUAGUUUAAGCUAUUUAGUGGAUGGCUACUUAUAUUAAUUCUUCAAAUUAAGUUGUGAAAGAAAGCUGCAAAAGCAGGUGAUGACAACCAUUUUCCUUGUUACUGUAUUAAGUAUUGAAAAAUAAGAGAUGAAUAGAAAAAUGCCAAGAGGGCCAAAAUUUAAUAAUAACAAGAAGACAUAUCGUUGGUGCACAUGAUGAAAUCAUUCAAACUAAAGCAUUGGAUUUUACUUAUUUUCUUGCUUUUAUUUUUCUCGUUCUCUUUUUCUUUUUGGAUCUGCAAGUACUACCAAUAAGAGACAAUAAUUCAAACUAGUAGCGAAAAUGCCAGCACAUUUCUCUGAUCAUAAUUUUUAAUGCUUUAAGAUCUUUUAGUUCACAGUACAUAGCAUGCAACUUAGGAACUACUUUUGCUAGAUACAAAAAUAAUCAAUUAUGACUAUGCUAUUUGUGCUACUGCUUUUUGAUAUAUAAAAGUUUAAUCUUUGUUCAGUUGCUUAAAAGUUUCUCUAUGGAAAGGCUACGCCUACUCAACUGCUAACAUAAUUGUAUAAAAAAUCUUAGUGGAACAAAUUAAAGUUUAGUUAAGUGAGAAUUUCUGUCCUUUUUUUUUCCUUAUGAUUUAUGCAAUCACCUCUUAUAAAAACAGAAAAAAUGGACAAAAUUUAGAAUCAUUUUUCCUUCCAUUAAAGACAUGAUUUUUGGUGACAGCCUGGAAGUUUUGAAGUACAGAAACAAACCAUUUUUUUUCUUUCUUUCAAGCUAUAAUUAUUGCUAUCUUUCCUUUUUCUUUUAUUUUAUUUUGGACAGGAAGGUCGGUUAUCUUUUCCUUGUUCUUGUUCUUUAUGGGUGCAUCAGUCUCGUGGAAUGACGUAAAACUUUCCAUCAAUCAAGCCCUAAAGUAGAAGAAUAAAAAAAGAAAAAGAAUCUUCCCAGAAAGAAGAGAAGCAUGUAAAGGACGCACCGAUGCAUAAAGCAUCCAACAAUCAUAUAGGAUUCAAGAAAGACCGCAUUGCAAAGAUAUAACGUAAGUAACAUAUUCUAAGUCAAAAAUUAUUGACUGCUUUCACGGUUCAACUCUAAUCCUAAGAACAAAAAGAUGAAGUAUAAUAAAAAAAAAAUAAUUACCG
rnacentral:lncRNA from 1 species